AUACUUACCUGGCAGGGGAGAUACCAUGAUCACGAAAGUGGUUUUCCCAGGUUGAGGCUCACCCAUUGCACUUUGGGUAUGCUGAUCCCUAUGAUUUCCCCAAAUGUGGGAAACUUGACUGCAUAAUUUGUGAUAGUGGGGGACUGUGUUUGUGCUUUCCCAUG
rnacentral:snRNA from 1 species